CUGUGGCUUAGUGGAUAAUGCGCCGGUCUGAUGGACUGGAUUCCCGGGUUCAAUUCCCGGCG
rnacentral:ncRNA from 16 species